rnacentral:lncRNA from 1 species
UAACCAGCCAAGACAUACAACCGCGGAUACUUGGCUUAUAACAAGCUCUCAGAGCACCCAGCAGAAUUCAGAAAAAUGACUCUCCGUGCUGGCUUUCGAGACGGGUAACACCUUUCCAAGUGAGUAGUCCUUGAGCAUGACAGAGAGCUGCAAGGAGCAUGGAGGACUCCUGGGCUCUUCUCCUUGAGCAAUCUUCAUCAAAAUUGCAGAAGAACGGGUGUUGGUCCAGCACCUCCAUCCAGCCAUGGAUGCUGCGAGGUGCCAGGGCAGCACAGGGCGCCCAUCGGAUCUGGACCCAUGCUGGCAUUACCUGAGCUCGGUAAUCAGUCUUCCCGUACCGCCGCUCCUGAUGACCAGCAAACUGUCUCCAACCUUCUGGUUGUCAAGAAAAUUGUGACAAGGCAAAUGUCAGAUCAUGUGGAGCCUUCUGAAUUUUUUGACCCCUUCAAUCUGUUUUCCAACCUGGGUAUGGCAAAGAAGCUGUGUUGGACUAAUUGGUUGUCUCUCUUCUCCAGGCAGUGGAUAAAGUCCAGAUGUAGGACCGCUUUACCUGCGUGGGACCUGGCUGUGCAAGCUUUUCCUGUGCAGGCUGGCUGA